GACGAACGCUGGCGGCGUGCUUAACACAUGCAAGUCGAACGAAGAGCGACGGAAGCUUGCUUCUAUCAAUCUUAGUGGCGAACGGGUGAGUAACGCGUAAUCAACCUGCCCUUCAGAGGGGGACAACAGUUGGAAACGACUGCUAAUACCGCAUACGAUCUAAUCUCGGCAUCGAGGAUAGAUGAAAGGUGGCCUCUACAUGUAAGCUAUCACUGAAGGAGGGGAUUGCGUCUGAUUAGCUAGUUGGAGGGGUAACGGCCCACCAAGGCGAUGAUCAGUAGCCGGUCUGAGAGGAUGAACGGCCACAUUGGGACUGAGACACGGCCCAGACUCCUACGGGAGGCAGCAGUGGGGAAUCUUCCGCAAUGGACGAAAGUCUGACGGAGCAACGCCGCGUGAGUGAUGACGGCCUUCGGGUUGUAAAGCUCUGUUAAUCGGGACGAAAGGCCUUCUUGCGAACAGUUAGAAGG
rnacentral:rRNA from 1 species